rnacentral:tmRNA from 2 species
GGGGUUGUACUGGUUUCGACGGGGGUCAUGCAGCUGGUGAAGCUAUCCGCAUGCGGUGCGUUAAACGGCAAAAUUAAAAUUAAACGCUGAAGAUAAUUUAGCAUACGCAGCCUAAUGGCUGCUGUCAGCCUUAGUGCACUCACACAUUAAGAGUCUGGCAUCGACUAUGUGAGAAACGACAUGUAUUAAGCUUUGCGUGCAUGGGCGUAUCAUGAAGCUACUGAAACUGCGAGGGUGUCUGUUUUCGCGCGGCAGAGGGAAUGUCAAAUAACAGACUAUGAUAGUAGAAGAACAGGGAAUUGAUUUUCGGACAGGGGUUCGAUUCCCCUCAGCUCCACGC